AAAUGAACGCUGGCGGCAGGCCUAACACAUGCAAGUCGGGCGGUAACAGGGAUAGCUUGCUAUCUGCUGACGAGCGGCGGACGGGUGAGUAAUGCAUAGGAAUCUGCCUGNUAGUGGGGGAUAGCCCAGAGAAAUUUGGAUUAAUACCGCAUACGCCCUACGGGGGAAAGCUGGGGACCUUCGGGCCUAGCGCUAUCAGAUGAGCCUAUGUCGGAUUAGCUUGUUGGUGAGGUAACGGCUCACCAAGGCGACGAUCCGUAGCUGGUCUGAGAGGAUGAUCAGCCACACUGGGACUGAGACACGGCCCAGACUCCUACGGGAGGCANCAGUGGGGNAUAUUGGACAAUGGGCGCAAGCCUGAUCCANCCAUGCCGNGUGUGUGAAGAAAGCCUUCNGGUUGUAAAGCACUUUCAUCCGAGGAGGAAAGGGGUGUUGCUAAUAUCAANGCCCUGUGACGUUACUCGCANAAGAAAACCGGCUAACUUCGUGCCAGCAGCCGCGGUAAU
rnacentral:rRNA from 1 species